UACGUAGGGUGCAAGCGUUGUCCGGAAUUAUUGGGCGUAAAGGGCGCGCAGGCGGUACGGCACGUCCGUUGUGAAAUCGCUCGGCUCAACUGGGCGGGGUCAGCGGAUACGGCCGCACUUGAGCAAGCUAGGGGGCAAUGGAAUUCCCGGUGUAGUGGUGGGAAUGCGUAGAUAUCGGGGAGGAACACCAGUGGCGAAGGCGGUUGCCUGGAGCUUUGCUGACGCUGAGGCGCGAAAGCGUGGGGAGCAAACAGGG
rnacentral:rRNA from 1 species